GUGGGGUAACGGCCUACCAAGGCGAUGACGGGUAGCAGGCCUGAGAGGGUGGUCUGUCACACUGGGACUGAGACACUGCCCAGACUCCUACGGGAGGCUGCAGUCGAGAAUCUUCCGCAAUGGGCGAAAGCCUGACGGAGCGACGCCGCGUGGAGGACGAAGGCCCUCGGGUUGUAAACUCCUGUCACGGGUGAUGAAUGUGCAUGUGCUAAUAGCACGUGCAUUGACGUAAGCCCGAGAGGAAGCACCGGCUAACUCCGUGCCAGCAGCCGCGGCAAUACGGAGGGUGCGAACGUUGUUCGGAAUUACUGGGCAUAAAGAGCUCGUAGGCGGCUGUGCAAGUGUGGAGUGAAAUCCCACGGCUUACCCGUGGAACUGCUUUGCAGACUGCACGGCUAGAGGAUGGUAGGGGAGAGCGGAACUCCUGGUGGAGCGGUGAAAUGCGUAGAUAUCAGGAGGAACACCGGUGGCGAAGGCGGCUCUCUGGAACAUCUCUGACGCUGAGGAGCGAAAGCCAGGGUAGCGAACGGGAUUAGAUACCCCGGUAGUCCUGGCCGUAAACGAUGGGCACUAGCUAGGGGUCUCCCUGUGGGAUCCCUGGUGAAGCAAAUGUGAUAAGUG
rnacentral:rRNA from 1 species